rnacentral:tRNA from 1 species
CGCGGAGUAGAGCAAUGGUAGCUCGUCGGGCUCAUAACCCGGAGGUUGCAGGUUCGAGUCCUGCCUCCGCAACCA